UCAGGAUGGAUAAAAGCCUUUCCCACAACCAGUGAGACCUACUAAAGUCCUGUUACAGGAAAUCAUCCCAAGGACUACAACCAAGUCUAAGAUGCAGCAUUCACCAAUGAUGAAGUUGUUCUGGCUAAAACACCUGGUACCAGCUUCUACAUGGGCAUCAACCGUCAUCCUGUCAAGCUUCCCGAACCCCAGUAUGGCACCUGCUUUCAGCAAGAAGUAGUAAGAGAGAGACUUGGCCCUUUUCCUAACAAUCCAAAGACAGGAAUGAAAGGUUCUUGCCUUAGUAGAAAUUACUGUGGUGGUCUAACGAGGUAGAAGGCCAAAGCAUGAACGCCUACCAUUUUCUGCUUCUUCCCCAGCUCCUGUUUGUGCGUGAAGAAAAUUCCAAUAGGCUGCUCGAGCCAGCAGUGCCUGCCCUAAGUGCCAUCCCAUGCCCCACGUUUCCAGAAGAAAAAGCCACGCCCCAGCGGUCAUGGACUUUUCUCCCGUCCUUGGAAUAAAGGCUAUUUUUUACUUUAUAUUCUCUCAUCGCGCAGACAACUCUUUCAACGAUGUUUGGACAACAGGGCGGCACAGCAUUUGGGAAUCAUUUUCAGCAACCUGGAAUCUGACCCACACUCACAAUGUGUCCUCCACACUGGGAGCAAACUAGGCAGAAAUGGCACAACAGGACAAGGACAGCAGGCUCUCCUAGGGCAAGCAGAACAUAAAGAGACAUUCAAUUGCUCCCGUAUUUUUAGCAGUGAUUGGUACUUAUUGCAUCAAGUUAAUCCACCGCUUAAAAUCAGUCACUCACCUGUUAACUCCACAGCACUGUCCCUGCUCUGUGCAUGACCCCAACAGUGACUGAGAGUCUGGGGGGCUGAGGCAGACUGUGUAAAGUGGCCCUCUGGUUAUCGAUACCUCACUGUGAAUGCGCCCUGCAGGGGAGAGGCAUCCCAGGGGCCAGAAGGGAAGAGGAGACUCCACUCCAAAGACAUUUUAGCCCCACCCAAUGUCUUGAGGACCGACCCAGAGAGAAGACUAUAUGGGAUGAAGACACCCUCUCUGUGUUUCUCAAGGACAGGCACUUUUCUGUCACUGUCAUUCAAUGUCUUUACCUGUGUGUGUAGGGGUGUGUUUAUCUGGCAACCCGAGGAGAAAUCAUAAUAUACUUCCCCAUGGCAACA